rnacentral:misc_RNA from 1 species
GACUACGUUUCCUAGUGGUGAAUACGAAUUUAGAGUUUAUCAUAGAGGUGAAAAAUAACAGAAAAUUGGAGAAGAGUAGUUGGGGGGAAAAAGUAAAAUGUUAUGGGGGAGAUUGGUUUUGAUUGAGGUGGAAGGGAAUGAAUACUUUCAAACAAAUCUCAAGUAGGGAAAUGUACGAGGCAAGUGUACAUAACCUCUGUUAUCGGGAUUCGAUUCGUUUCGAGUUUCGUGUUUUUGAUGCAUCUUGUAAAAAUUCACAAAUCUUUCUCGGAUAAUGACCAAGCACAUUCAUUAAAUGCAAAAAAAAUAAUGUUUUAUGUAUAAAAGAAGUUUAGAAAACUUGGUUUUGUUUAAAAAUCAAUGUUCUUACAUGACUUCAUAUAAUACUUUUUGAUCGAAGAAUGAGUGAUCGAAAGUAUAAUAUACGAUGAAAUAGUUAUGUUGCCCUCGACUGGUUACUUUAAAGCUAUUAACUGUCCAUUUUAUGAAAGUGGAACGUGCGAUAGACCCUACUGUCAUUUCAAGCAUUCGAAACGCGAAGAUGUUGGAAUCACCACGGAGGCGAUCGAGUCGGUGCAAAACCGUUCCACGGGUCAAGUUGAAGAGUCCAAACCAGCUACAAUGGUAACAUCCAAUUCAGACGUUUUACAACAAUUAGUAACAGAAGCUGUCAAAAAAGUCCUAGCUAAUCGAAAUGUCACAGAUGUAGAUAAUAAAUUUUCUUGUCAGAAUGUUGUUUCUCAGGUAGUAGAAGGACUAAAACCCACUUUAACUUCUGGAUCAUCUGGAACAAUAGAUAAUGUUACGGCUAAUAUGGUAGAAAAAAGAGCAGAUACUCCGGCGCCAGUUAAUACAUCACUUCCAUGCGUUUAUAAUCCAACACCAAUCGCAGAAUUAAAGAAACGUCAUAUACCAAUAGUAUCAUAUAUGCCAACCAGGAAAAGUUCGGUUGCAGUGAAACGUAAAUGCUCACCGGAUAGAGUUAAGCCUUGGUUAAAUAUCAGCAGUGAGUCUAUGGAACCGUCAACAGUUGAAAUUAAAUACAAACCUACUAUAAUAAUUAACCCUGAAGCUCGAGAUACUAUGCAGAGUUACAUACCAACAUGUAAAUCAGAUUCAGCUUCGAUAAAUUCAUAUAAGGAUGGUAGUUCAAAUGAGUAUCUAUCUAAACUCAGGGAAACCUACUAUCCAAAGUGUAAAAAAAAAAGGGAAGAGUAUGUUCCAAAGAAAGUGAAAACUCCAUUAAAAACUACAGACGGAUUAAAUGAAUCUGUAUUAGAUCAUUUUGAAACUGAUUUUGAUAUGAUGGAUGAGGUACUUACAUGUACAAAAUCAACUUCUGAUAUACGAUCUAGCGAAGUAUCUCAGGAUUCUUCUGUAGAUUUAGAACCAAAAUUUUCUGAUGACGAAGAAGACAAUAGUAAUAAUUGCAAUAAUACUGAUGGUUACAGCCAUGAUGGAAAAAAAGUUAAUAUCACAAAUAUUGAUUCUAUGACUUUAGAACAAAAUGAAUCAUAUUGCGAUGCUGAAACAUCUGAUUGUUCAAAUAAUAUACACACUGUGGGCACACAUGUUCAAAAGGUAGUUGAUAGUAACGAAUUGCACGUUACAGAAGAACAGCAGAAUGAGAAAAUAUCGGUAUGUAUUAACAUUCGGAAACAAAAGAGAUUAUCGAGCGAAGAAGGUUCAAAAACUGUACCAUGUGAGAAAGCAAGUACAUUGCAAAUAGAUUCACAUAAAAGUACCAUUGGAGAUGUAAAGGAACAUAAAAGCAGAGAUAAAAACAAAAGCAAAAGUCAAAAGGAUCAUAGUAUGUCUCAUAAAAGGUAUAAGGAUAAGCAUGAUUCAAAUAAAAAAUCGCAUUCCACAUCGAGUAGUAAAAGCAAAAGUAAAACUAAGAAUUAUUCAAGACAUAAGAGCAAAGAAUGUAGAGAUAAGAAGUAUGAUAAAGAUAAGAAUAAAGGAAAGCACCAGGAGAAAUAUGGGGAGAAAGAAAAAGAUAGGGAAGGAAGGGAAAAUAAACUCAAAAGUAAGAGUGAUAGGAGAGACCAUCAUGGAUCAGGAAAACGGCAUAGAUAUUAUUCGAAAAGUUCUUCACGAAAGCAAGAACAUAUUAAGAAUAAAAAUGACAAAUGCUCGAAAACGGAGAAUAAGUCAGAUGAUAAAGUAAUCGAAAAAUCACAUGCACGCAUGGGGUAUAAGGAAGAAAGAAAUUCAACUGACAGAUCGAUAAAUUCUUUGGAAAGCAUUCGUCUGAGUCCGGUAGAUGAUGGUGAAGAAGAGAACGAUGACCGUCAGAGUAGUAUCAUUGAUAACGAUAUUGAUGUAAUUUUUAGUACAUCUGACUCAGAUCACGACGUACAAGAAGAGUGUCUAAAGAUAUUUCAGGAAUAUCAACUACCAGAAAGGUCAAAGGCAACGGAGUCACCAAAAGAGUCAUCAACAUUGCUUGAAAAAGAAAAGGAACAGACAGAAGAGGUUGGCAGGAAAAGAGUAGCGCACCCUUCAGCAGCUACAUGCGUUACCAGGCAAAUUGGAAUUACUCAACAGGCGAGAAAAUUGGUAAAUCCGCAACAGAAAAUGUACGAAAGAUGGCGUUUGAUGCGAGAUGCUGCAAUAGAAAAAACAAUUUCUGCGAGUAGUAGUGUUUCCAAAGAUGUACGCCGAAAUCAUACCGAAGUGAUAGGAACAGCAAGCAACAGUGAAUUAAGCCUAAAUGGAAAUGGUCGUGUCAGGAUCGCUCAUGUACCAUAUGCUAAAUCUCUAGCGAUAGAAAAAAAGAAAGUGACAGAAAAUGCAGGAAAAGCAGUUGAACCGAAAACAACGGAUAAUUAUAAAACAGCUGCCCAAACGGCGAAGAGCGGUGUGCGAGUCGCUCAUGUUCCACAAGUGGUUCCUCAAUUAAUACGUCCUGAACCGUUGCAAGUAACUACUCAAAAAUUUCCUUUAAAUGUUCGUCAAUAUUACGUAAAUAUGAUGCAUGAUGUAUGCGUGUUAAUUUAUACGAAUGCUGAGGAUGCGGCACAACGAGCGGUUAAAGAAGAACACGCUUGUCACGAACGAUGUAAAGCGUUAACUGUAUACAAAAAUUCCUGUAUGCUUGCUGCGCAUAGAUUGAGGAAAGAAAUUGAUCAAAAUUCAUCUGGGGAUAAUAAUACAACGACAAUGCCAGGAAGUAGUAUGGUAUCCCAUGAAGCAGUACUUACCGGGAAAGCUAAAGGUUCCUGGAGUGUACUUAAGACAAAGAAAUCCAUUACAAAAUUUAGAGGUACAGCUCUAUAUGGUAUGUUAAAAAAAUGGAUAAUGACGGAACAACAACUUCGAGAUAAUGGAUUUCCUCGUUCACAUCCAGAUGGUCACAAGGGACGUGCUAAAGUUUAUGUAAUCAACUCGCGAAAUCAAAGUAUUUUGUCAAAAGUGCCUAAUGAAAGAGUUUGUAGUCGAUGUGGUCAAACUUACAUGAUUGAUAGACAAGGAUUUGCUUUGCAACCACAGAACUGUAUAUAUCAUUGGGGUAGAAAAUUCACAAUUAAAGGUGAAGGCAAAUAUAGUUGUUGUCAACAAUAUGGAUCUGCAACUGGUUGUUGUGAUGCAAAAACACAUGUUUGGGAUUAUACAGAUUAUGAAAACCUUCGAGGUUACGUGAAAACUUUACCUAAAGAUACACCAAUUGAGGAACAAGGGGUGUAUGCACUCGAUUGCGAAAUGUGUUAUACAACUCAAGGAUUGGAACUGACUAGAAUAACAGUUAUCGAUGAAGAUUGCAGUGUGGUAUAUGAAACGUUAGUUAAUCCGCAAAAUCCAAUAAUCGAUUAUAAUACAAGGUUUUCCGGAAUUACAGAAGAAGAUAUGAAGGAUGUGACAACAACGUUAUUAGACGUCCAAGCGACAUUAUUGACGAUGUUUUCAGAAAAGACCAUACUAGUGGGUCACAGUUUAGAAAGUGAUUUUAAAGCUUUAAAGCUUUUGCACGAUACUGUGGUUGAUACGAGCGUAAUGUUUCCGCACAAAAAUGGAUAUCCACAAAAGAGGGCUUUGAAGAAUCUUUGUUCGGAAUAUUUAAGGAAGCUCAUCCAAAAUGACGUUGGUGGACACGAUAGUAAAGAGGAUGCUAUCGCUUGUAUGGAAUUAAUUUUAUGGAAAGCAAAGGAGGAAGCAAAAUUACAAUAGACGAAAUUACAAGUACCGUCAGACUGAAUCGUGUACAGCUUAUGAUUUCAUGGUUUACGAAACGAUGAUAAUCUCUUUUUUGAAUUACCAAUGACCGCUCAUCUACGAAUUACAUUCACGGUUCUACGAUAGUACACGUUCGCCCUUUUCAUCGCGCGCAAUUCAUACUUUUAUAAGAUUUCGUUAUUAUUGCGCUUUGAAUUUUGAAUCGUUCGAAUGUAAAUAGAACGAUGUAGGGGUACCUGCG